GGUCUCUCUCCCAUCUUCCUCCUUUCUCUUCUUCCCUUCUCCUUCCACUUCUCCUUCCCCUUCUCCUUCCCCUUCCCCCCCUUUUUCUUCUCUCUCUCUCUCCCUUACUCUUUCUUUCGUUUUUUGUUUUUGUUGUUGUUUUGUAUUUUUUUUUUUGACGCAGUCUCACCCUGUCGCCCAGGCUGGAGUGCACUGACACAAUCUCGGUAAAUUGCAACCUUUGCCUUCCGGAUUCAAGCGAUUCUCCUGCCUCAGCCUCUAGAGUAGCUGGAACUCUCCAGUAGCAGGGACUACAGGCGCCCGCCACCAGGCCCGCCUAAUUUUUGUAUUUUUAGUAGAGAUGGGGUUUCACCGUGUUGGCCAGGAUGGUCUUGAACUUCUGGCUUCAAGUGAUCCUCCCGCCUUGACUUCCCAAAGUGUUGGGAUUACAGUCGUGAGCCACCGAGCCUGGUCCUCUUUCCCGUCUUUCUUAGACCUCUUGACCUCUCUCCUGGCCCGUGGGGUCUUUGUCACUGUCCCGUCUCCAGUUUGCUCCCCCCGAUUCACUGUCUUCUCUCUCCGGUCCUCUUCCCUUUGCCUCGGACUGUAUCCUCUUCGUCGCUGUUGAUCCCACUUCUGCACUGUCCUCGCUGCUGUCUUCUCCCAAUCCUGUCGCCAUCCCCAUCCCCUGCCUCAGUCCCCUGUGCCGUCGGGCACUCCACCUAUGACCGUGGAGUCUUUUUCUGUCCCCUGCGUCUCUGUCACAUCCUCUCUCGUCGCUCCUGGUCGGAGGCCCUGCCUCCCUCGCCUCAGGGCCCUUCCCCGUCUCCUUCUCUUCCUGUCAUCCCUGGCUCCUUCCCAGCGUCUUUCCUUCCUUCUCCGAAUCGUCCUCUGCUCCUCUGGGUUUGCGUCUGCUGGGGGCUCUGCCCCUGGGAGCUGUUUCCUCCACUCAGUCUCUGGAUGUUUUCUAGGGGGUCACAUCCUCUUCUAGGCCUGUCCUGGGGCAGAGGGGCCACCCUGAGGUCCAUCAGUCAGUCUGACCAUCUCCUUAGAACCUCGAGCCUCUCGCCUCGCCUCGCCUCGCCUGACGCCCUUUCCCGCCCUUUAUCUCCCUUCAGAAUUAAAAAAAAAGACAGUCGGAAGCAUCAGAGCAUGCGUCCUAACCGUCAGUCUGGAACAGGUGCGCGCGGCCGGCCCGCGGGCUGGCGGGAGCUCACGCGAACUAACGCGCGAGCUCGCACGCUGCGGCGGCCGGCUGGCGACUAGUGACGUCGCGGAGGCUUGUCCCUGCCUUAUUGGCUGCCUUCGACCAGCGCGCGCUUGCUGGACUAGACGGCCAGCCUUGCCAAGCGCCAGGGGGCGCUCAGCGCUAGAGCUCACUGACCCCCGGAGCCCUAUAGAGAGACUCGUGUCAUCCUGGCAACCCUGUCCUACCUAAUUGGAUACCUGCUCCAGUUCGUUGGAUCCAUUAAUCUGAUUGGAUGCCUGGCGAGUCAAGGCUUGUAUAUAAUUGGAUGCCUGGAAAUGUGGAUCUUUCCUACGUUUCGCAUUUCUCUCUCUUAGCUGGAUUUCUUCCGCAAGCACUGGGGAUGUGGAGAUUGAAAAUACAGGUCCCUUUCCUCCCGCCAAGGGGCGCCAUGGAACGCAGGGCCCUCUCUGUCCCUGGGGACUGGGUGACGUCAGGGGUAAGCCUCUCGUGAUUGGGUACAUCGCUCCCCAGAAGGUCAAAUGGAAGAAUUGAGAGCACUUUCCCACCAGCUUUGGUGGCUCCGUCUGGUUGUCCUGGUGCACAAGCUGGCGAUGCUAUGUGUUUGAAGCUAACCUGGGCAAAAUUAAAAAAAAAUUUUUUU